rnacentral:rRNA from 1 species
AUUGAACGCUGGCGGCCGGCUUAACACAUGCAAGUCGAGCGAGCGGCGGACGGGUGAGUAAUGUCUGGGAAACUGCCUGAUGGAGGGGGAUAACUAAUGGAAACGGUAGCUAAUACCGCAUACCAUCAGAUGUGCCCAGAUGGGAUUAGCUAGUAGGUGGGGGAAUGGCUCACGUAGGCGACGAUCCCUAGCUGGUCUGAGAGGCGGACCAUCCACAAUGGAACGGAGAAACGGUCCAGAUUCCUACGGGAGGCAGCAGUGGGGAAUAUUGCAAAAUGGGCGCAAGCCUGAUGAAGCCAGGCCGCGUGUGUGAAGAAGGCCUUCGGGUUGUAAAGCACUUUCAGCGAGGAGGCGUUACUCGCAGAAGAAGCACCGGCUAACUCCGUGCCAGCAGCCGCGGUAAUUC